UACGUAGGUGGCAAGCGUUGUCCGGAUUUAUUGGGUUUAAAGGGUGCGUAGGCGGUCUUAUAAGUCAGUGCUGAAAUCUCCCGGCUUAACCGGGAGGGUGGCAUUGAUACUGUAGGACUUGAGUAAAGUUGAGGUUGGCGGAAUUGACGGUGUAGCGGUGAAAUGCUUAGAUAUCGUCAAGAACACCGAUAGUGUAGACAGCUAACUAAGCUUUAACUGACGCUGAGGCACGAAAGUGUGGGGAUCAAACAGG
rnacentral:rRNA from 1 species